rnacentral:rRNA from 1 species
AAACUGGUAAAAUGUGAUGUACCUAAUAGUAUUAGUGAUUAAUAUGAAAUUAACUAAGUUAAUUAAAAUUCGAAGUAGAUAUGUGAUUAUGACAAUAUUUGCUUAUUUCUUGACCAAGUCACGUGCCAGCAGUCGCGGUAAUACGUGGUAGAUCAGUGUUAUUCAUCUUUAAUAGGUUUAAAGGGUACCUAGACGGUUAAUUAAGCAUAUUUGUGUACUAAUUAUUAACUAGAGUUUAAUGUAAGAAGGAUUGAGUACGGUGAGUGUAGAGAUAGAAUUCUGUCAUACCACUUAGGAACUGGUAAAGGCGAAGGCAACCUUUUAUGUAAAAACUGACGUUAAGGGACGAAGGCUCGUAUUAAGCAAUAGGAUUAGAGACCCUAGUAUUGUGGGCAGACAAUGAUGAGUGUCAUAUGCAAGAAAAAUAAGAAAUAAUAAUAAGAAAAUUUUUGUGUAUAAAUGAAAGUGUAAGCAUUCCACCUCAAGAGUAACGUGGCAACAUGGGAACUGAAAUCAUUAGACCGUUUCUGAAACUCGUAGUGAAGUAUGUUGUUUAAUUUGAUAAUCCACAAAUAACCUUACCACAAUUUGAAUUACUGGUGAAAAUUAAUUACUAGUAACAAGCGUUGCACGGCUGUCUUCAGUUAAUGUUGUGAAACUUUGGUUAGAUCCAUUAAAUUGACGUAAACCCUUGCUUUAUUUGUUAUAAAGCAGUUCGCC